ensembl:snRNA RNU6-73P RNA, U6 small nuclear 73, pseudogene
GUGCUAGCUUUGGCAGCACAUAUACUAAAACUGAAACAAUACAGAGAAGAUUAGCAUGGCCCCUGUGCAAGGAUGACAUGCAAAUUCGUGAAGCGUUCCAUAUUUUU